GGAGUUAUUAAAAUUUUUUAAAUAAAAUUACGCGAAAAUAGUUGAGCUAAGUAAUUAUAAUUAUUAGAUUGUUAUAUGUAGCAUAAUAUAAACAAAUAAUUCCUUAGGGGUGAGAGGCCUAUCAAAACUAUAGAUAUCUCGAUUCUUUAGAAAAACAUUAAGUGUUUAAUCAACUAAUAAGUGAUAAGGCUUUUUAGAAAUAUAAAUAUAUAUUUAUAAUAUUAAUCUUGAUUUAAUAGUUAGGUUUUGAAUAAUGUAAUUAUUUAUUUAUAGAAAAUUAUAUCCAAUAUAAAGAAAUAUUAAAAUUUAAUAGAAGGUUUAAAAUGUAACUAUAAGUAACUUAACAAAUAUGAAAAAUGAACUCGGCAAGUUAUCUUUCAACUGUUUACCAAAAACAUAGCUAUGUGAUAUUAUUCAUAGUAAUUUCUGCUCAAUGAUAAUUUAAAUAGCCGCAGUACCCUGACUGUGCAAAGGUAGCGUAAUAAUUUGGCUUAUAAUUGAAGUCUAGUAUGAAUGAAAUCUUGGGGGACAGCUUUAUCCUUCAUAGGUCUUGAAAUUACUAAUUAAGUGCAAAUCCUUAUAUCUAAACGAUAGACGAGAAGACCCUUGAAAUUUUUAUAAAAAAUUAGAUUUUUUUUUGUUGGGGCAACAAGGUAACAUAAAAUUUACCGUUAAAAACAAGAACAUCGUGUGUGUUAGAAUAAAUUACUCUAGGGAUAACAGCGUAAUUUGAAAAAGUUUGCGACCUCGAUGUUGGACUAGGGAACUGUUGCUUAGAAGGCAUAAUGUAAGGCUCUGUUCAGGCUU
rnacentral:rRNA from 1 species